AGCAGCCGCGGUAAUUCCAGCUCCAAUAGCGUAUAUUAAAGUUGUUGCAGUUAAAAAGCUCGUAGUUGAAUUUCAGGCCUGGCUGGACGGUCCGCCCUUCGGGUGAGUACUGUCUGUGGUCGGGUCCUACCUUCUGGCGAAGCGUCGUGGCCUUAACCGGCCGUGGCGGGGAACCAGGACUUUUACUGUGAAAAAAUUAGAGUGUUCAAAGCAGGCAAUCGCUUGGAUACAUUAGCAUGGAAUAAUGGAAUAGGACAAUGGUUCUAUUUGUUGGUUUCUAGGACCGUUGUAAUGAUUAAUAGGGAUAGUUGGGGGCAUUAGUAUUCAAUUGUCAGAGGUGAAAUUCUUGGAUUUAUUGAAGACUAACUACUGCGAAAGCAUUUGCCAAGGAUGUUUUCAUUAAUCAAGAACGAAAGUUAGGGGAUCGAAGACGAUCAGAUACCGUCGUAGUCUUAACCAUAAACUAUGCCGACUAGGGAUCGGACGAAGUUAAUUUUAUAAUGACGCGUUCGGCACCUUACG
rnacentral:rRNA from 1 species